rnacentral:tRNA from 1 species
GAGGGUGCAGCUCAGUGGUAGAGCGCCUGCCUGGCGUGCACAGGGUCCUGGGUUCAAUCCCCAGUACCUCCA